GCAAGUCGAGGGGUAGAGGAAGCUUGCUUCCUUGAGACCGGCGCACGGGUGCGUAACGCGUAUGCAAUCUACCUUGUACAGAGGGAUAGCCCAGAGAAAUUUGGAUUAAUACCUCAUGGUAUUAUAGAAUGGCAUCAUUUUAUAAUUAAAGUUCCAACGGUACAAGAUGAGCAUGCGUCCCAUUAGUUAGUUGGUAAGGUAACGGCUUACCAAGACAAUGAUGGGUAGGGGUCCUGAGAGGGAGAUCCCCCACACUGGUACUGAGACACGGACCAGACUCCUACGGGAGGCAGCAGUGAGGAAUAUUGGACAAUGGGCGCAAGCCUGAUCCAGCCAUGCCGCGUGCAGGAAGACGGCCCUAUGGGUUGUAAACUGCUUUUAUACAGGAAGAAACACCGCUACGUGUAGCGGCUUGACGGUACUGUAGGAAUAAGGAUCGGCUAACUCCGUGCCAGCAGCCGCGGUAAUACGGAGGAUCCAAGCGUUAUCCGGAAUCAUUGGGUUUAAAGGGUCCGUAGGCGGCCUUAUAAGUCAGUGGUGAAAUCUCCUAGCUCAACUAGGAAACUGCCAUUGAUACUGUAGGGCUUGAAUUAUUAGGAAGUAACUAGAAUAUGUAGUGUAGCGGUGAAAUGCUUAGAUAUUACAUGGAAUACCAAUUGCGAAGGCAGGUUACUACUAAUCAAUUGACGCUGAUGGACGAAAGCGUGGGUAGCGAACAGGAUUAGAUACCCUGGUAGUCCACGCCGUAAACGAUGGAUACUAGCUGUUCGGAUUUCGGUCUGAGUGGCUAAGCGAAAGUGAUA
rnacentral:rRNA from 1 species